rnacentral:rRNA from 1 species
UACGGGGGGGGCAAGCGUUGUUCGGAAUUACUGGGCGUAAAGGGCUCGUAGGCGGCCAACUAAGUCAGACGUGAAAUCCCCAGGCUUAACCUGGGAACUGCGUGUGAUACUGGAUGGCUUGAAUUCGGGAGAGGGAUGCAGAAUUCCAGGUGUAGCGGUGAAAUGCGUAGAUAUCUGGAGGGAUACCGGUGGCGAAGGCGGCAUCCUGGACCGACAUUGACGCUGAUGAGCGAAAGCUAGGGGAGCAAACGGG